rnacentral:rRNA from 1 species
AUUAGAGUUUGAUCCUGGCUCAGGACGAACGCUGGCGGCGUGCUUAACACAUGCAAGUCGAGCGAAGCGGUUUUAAUGAAGUCUUCGGAUGGAUUUGAAAUUGACUUAGCGGCGGACGGGUGAGUAACGCGUGGGUAACCUGCCUUACACUGGGGGAUAACAGUUAGAAAUGACUGCUAAUACCGCAUAAGCGCACAGGGCCGCAUGGUCCGGUGUGAAAAACUCCGGUGGUGUAAGAUGGACCCGCGUCUGAUUAGGUAGUUGGUGGGGUAACGGCCUACCAAGGCGACGAUCAGUAGCCGACCUGAGAGGGUGAUCGGCCACAUUGGAACUGAGAGACGGUCCAAACUCCUACGGGAGGCAGCAGUGGGGAAUAUUGGGCAAUGGGCGAAAGCCUGACCCAGCAACGCCGCGUGAAGGAAGAAGGUCUUCGGAUCGUAAACUCCUAUCCCCGGUGAAGAUAAUGACGGUAACCGGGAAGGAAGCCCCGGCUAACUACGUGCCAGCAGCCGCGGUAAUAAU